rnacentral:lncRNA from 1 species
UGUAUUAAAAUGUAAAAUCCUAACUUCGCGUCAAAUAUGGAUUUUUGGCAAAAUUUGUGUAUUUAGGUGCAAUUUUCCCUUCUUUUUUCUAUAGUUUUUUUCUUUUAAUACUUGUAGUAUUUUUCUUUUUUCUAUAGUUUCUUUCUUUUAAUACUUGUAGUUUCUUUUAAGUAUGUAGUUUCUUUUUUCUUCUUCUUCUUUUUUCUUUUUCGUUUCAAGUUUUAAUUAUUUUUUUAUUUUAUUUAGUUUGAAAAAAUAGUAUCAUUAAUAAAUGAUAUUAAAAGUUUCGCUCUUUUUUUGUUCUAUAUUAAAGGUUUCAUUUAGUUUGAAAAAUAGUAUCAUUUGUUCUUUUUUUGUUCUAUAUUAAAGGUUUCAUUUAAUAAGAAAAAUAUUGUUUGAUAU